rnacentral:rRNA from 1 species
AACGAACGCUGGCGGCAUGCCUAACACAUGCAAGUCGAACGAGACCUUCGGGUCUAGUGGCGCACGGGUGCGUAACGCGUGGGAACCUGCCCUUAGGUUCGGAAUAACUCCCCGAAAGGGGUGCUAAUACCGGAUAAUGUCUUCGGACCAAAGAUUUAUCGCCUUUGGAUGGGCCCGCGUUGGAUUAGCUAGUUGGUAGGGUAAAAGCCUACCAAGGCGACGAUCCAUAGCUGGUCUGAGAGGAUGAUCAGCCACACUGGGACUGAGACACGGCCCAGACCCCCUCGGGGGGGAAGAGGGGGGAAAUAUUGAAAAAGGGCGAAAGCCCGGACCAACAAAGGCCGGGGGAGUAAGAAAGGCUUGGGGGUUGAAAAGUUUUUUUCCCGGGGAGGAAAAUGACGUUACGGGGAAAAAAAGCCCCGGCAACCUCCGUC